CAUAGCGACUAUCGUGGCAUAUCAAUAAGCGGAGGAAAAGAAACUAACAAGGAUUCCCUUAGUAACGGCGAGUGAAGCGGGAAGAGCUCAAAUUUGAAAUCUUCAAGGUUUUACCUUGACGAAUUGUAGUUUAUAGAAGUGUUUUCUGUUAGUAGAGUGGCAAAAGUUCUUUGGAAUAGGACAUCAUAGAGGGUGAGAAUCCCGUAUUUGGUCAUUCUUUCUAGCUUUGUGAUACACUUUCAACGAGUCGGAUUGUUUGGGAAUGCAGUCCAAAAUGGGUGGUAAAUUUCAUCUAGAGCUAAAUAUUGGCGAGAGACCGAUAGCGAACAAGUACCGUGAGGGAAAGAUGAAAAGAACUUUGAAAAGAGAGUUAAACAGUACGUGAAAUUGUCAAAAGGGAAGCGUUUGACACCAGUGUUGUUUUCUCGAAAAUCAAUUAAAACAGGCCGGAUUUUGUGUUGUAUUGACCUUAAAAGCUUUCUUCACUCUUUUCUUGUCUUUUUUAAUGCACUUUUCGUUUAACAAGUCAACAUCAGUCUCUUUUGUUGUAAAAGGGUCAUUGGAAGGUGGCUUUCUUUUCGGAGAAAGUGUUUAUAGCCUUUGAUCUCUGCAACCGGAGAGACUGAGGUCUGCAGCGUAGACUCUUCGGGGUUAGAUACAUUUGUGCUAAGCUAUAGCUUUUUAUAGACAACUUGUUGACUAUAUUUAGUCUUGUGGCUUACUCGCUUAUGCUAUUUUACCUACGCUUAGGAUGUUGAUAGUCACAGCGUGUAC
rnacentral:rRNA from 1 species